rnacentral:rRNA from 1 species
AGCUCCAAUAGCGUAUAUUAAAGUUGUUGCAGUUAAAAAGCUCGUAGUUGGAUUUCUGGUAGGAGGGACCGGUCAGAUCAUUGAUCUGUACUUGUGUCCUCUCCCGCCAUCUUUGGGUGGAUCCUUUCUGGCAUUAAGUUGUCGGGAAGGGGAUGCCCAUCUUUUACUGUGAAAAAAUUAGAGUGUUCAAAGCAGACUUACGUCAUUGAAUAUAUUAGCAUGGAAUAAUAAGAUAGGGCUUCAGUACUAUUUUGUUGGUUUGCGUACCGAGGUAAUGAUUAACAGGGACAGUUGGGGGUAUUCGUAUUCAGUAUUCAGUGGUGAAAUACUUAGAUCUACGGAAGACGAACUACUGCGAAAGCAUUUACCAAGGAUGUUUUCAUUA